rnacentral:tRNA from 1 species
GCUUCGAUAGCUCAGUUGGUAGAGCACUUCACUCGUAAUGAAGGGGUAAGCGGUUCGAAUCCGCUCUGGAGCU